rnacentral:lncRNA from 1 species
GAGUUUCUGCAUAUUUUCAAAUAAAACUCAGAGAUUCCUUGUAUGACUCUAUCAUAUCUCUCUUUUGAGGUAUUUAUGGAUCCUUACCAAGGCAGUGAUGGUACAUGCCUUCUCUCAAAGUAUAUAGUAUUUGUAGUAUAAGGCAUAGUGACAUUGCCUUCUCUCUCACCCUACUCUAAUAAGGCUUUUGAUAUCUGGAGCUCAUAGGUGGGAAAUAAAGUAUACAUACUUACAAGACAUUUAUUACAUAGUCAAACCAUGGAUCCAGAGAAACAAGUCAAUAAAUCAAAUCAAGAUGUGCAUGUGUGGCGAAUGAAUGGUGUAUGGUGAUGAUGGUGAUAACAAUGGUGAAGUCUAAUUCUACUUGUUGCUCUUUUGAGGGGAUACAUACCUUUCUUGCUCUUUUGAAACUUUCUGAGGAGAAUGAGAUGCUCUUCUUUUUUCUUUUUCUUUCCUCUCAGGUGGGUAUAUUGUACCCCUGAUUCUACUGUCGGACACUUGUCCAUUUUACCUCUCGUCUCACUUUUUCUUUCUUUCGAGGUUCCGAGCACUUGCCCCUUUUUAUUUCCUCGUAUCUUUUCUUCUCUUUUUUUAGAGCACUCAUCUUCUGAAAUAAUAUAGCAAGUGGUAGUAACCAAGAUAACUUGAGCAUUUAUUUCUCAGGGAAAAACAGAAAUAUUUUUGGCUAUUCUCUCUCGGAUUAGGAGUAGAAUAUUUUUGGGUGGUUCUGGAGACGGAAAUGAAUGGAUGUAUGUGGAUGUGUACUUUCGGAAUAGAAGCAGCAUGUGUGAGUGAACGUGCAAGUGAAUCUUGAUUUAACCACAUGACAAGCUCCUAAGGGUCUACACAGCUUGACCACACUCAAUGCUCAUAAGCAGUAAAAAGUAAAUGUGUGGCUCAAAGUCUAGCA